CACCGCGGUUAUACGAGAGACUCGAAUUGACAUUACACGGCGUAAAGCGUGAUUAGAGAAAAAAUAAACUAAAGCCGAACACCCCUCUAGCUGUUAUACGCUAACGGGGACACGAAGCCCCACAACGAAAGUGGCCUUAAAGACCUUGAACUCACGACUAUUAAGAAA
rnacentral:rRNA from 1 species